rnacentral:rRNA from 1 species
CAGGCUUAACACAUGCAAGUCGAGGGGUAACAUUGUGCUUGCACAGAUGACGACCGGCGCACGGGUGCGUAACGCGUAUAGAACCUACCUUUUACAGAGGGAUAGCCUUUAGAAAUGAAGAUUAAUACCUCAUAGUAUUGCGAUUUGGCAUCAGAUUGUAAUUAAAGAUUUAUCGGUAAAAGAUGGCUAUGCGUCCUAUUAGUUAGUUGGUAAGGUAACGGCUUACCAAGACAUCGAUAGGUAGGGGUCCUGAGAGGGAGAUCCCCCACACUGGUACUGAGACACGGACCAGACUCCUACGGGAGGCAGCAGUGAGGAAUAUUGGACAAUGGAGGAGACUCUGAUCCAGCCAUGCCGCGUGCAGGAAGACUGCCCUAUGGGUUGUAAACUGCUUUUAUACAGGAAGAAACACUAGUACGUGUACUAGCUUGACGGUACUGUAAGAAUAAGGACCGGCUAACUCCGUGCCAGCAGCCGCGGUAAUACGGAGGGUCCGAGCGUUAUCCGGAAUCAUUGGGUUUAAAGGGUCCGCAGGCGGUCGAUUAAGUCAGAGGUGAAAUCCCAUAGCUUAACUAUGGAACUGCCUUUGAUACUGGUUGACUUGAGUCAUAUGGAAGUAGAUAGAAUGUGUAGUGUAGCGGUGAAAUGCAUAGAUAUUACACAGAAUACCGAUUGCGAAGGCAGUCUACUACGUAUGUACUGACGCUCAUGGACGAAAGCGUGGGGAGCGAACAGGAUUAGAUACCCUGGUAGUCCACGCCGUAAACGAUGGACACAAGUUGUUGGGAUUUAUCUCAGUGACUAAGCGAAAGUGAUAAGUGUCCCACCUGGGGAGUAC